UUGUCUAUGAGCUAUUUGCCUGGUUCAGCAAAUGUAUCCUCAUAUGAUAUUAAAAAGUUCCUCCUUUUUUCCCCUACUCAUGAAUGGAUUUAGUAGAAAUAUCUGGCGUCCAACUAAUUAAAUAAGCUUUCUGAUAUUACUGCUUAAAUAAGCUUUCUUUGUAAGCAAUUCCCUGAGUUUAAUGGAGAAUUCCUACUUAAUAAUUCUCCCUGGUUUUUCCUCUUUAUGCUUCUUCUCUAGCCAUGGUUUUGCACUUCAAGAUCAGUACAAGGAUUGACCCAUUGUUCCUAAUUGCUACUUAAUGUAUGGUUCAAAACUCGGGGCAUAUCCCUCAGAAAAAGAAAAAGAGGAGGGAAGCCAUCUGGGAUUAUCGCAGAUGUAACCAUUGAGUGAUUCCUCAUGAACAAGGUGUUUAAUUGAUGAUAAAUAUUCUAAUUUGCAAG
rnacentral:misc_RNA from 1 species